CCUACGGGAGGCAGCAGUAGGGAAUUUUCCUCAAUGGGCGCAAGCCUGAACGAGCAAUGCCGCGUGAACGAGGAAGGACUUCGGAUCGUAAAGUUCUGUUGACGGGGAAAAAGAGCGGAGAGCGUAACUGCUUUCUGCUUGCUAUUACCCUUCGAGGAAGUCCGGGCUAACUACGUGCCAGCACCCGCGGUAAUACGAGGGGGGCGAGGGUUAUCCGGAAUGAUUGGGCGUAAAGGGUGCGUAGGCGGCCUGCUAAGUCUGGAGUGAAAGGUACCGGCUCAACCGGUACAGGCUCUGGAAACUGGCGGGCUAGAGAGCAGGAGAGGGCGGUGGAACUCCAUGUGUAGCGGUAAAAUGCGUAGAUAUAUGGAAGAACACCAGUGGCGAAGGCGGCCGCCUGGCCUGUUACUGACGCUGAGGCACGAAAGCGUGGGGAGCAAAUAGGAUUAGAUACCCCUGUAGUC
rnacentral:rRNA from 1 species